GACGAACGCUGGCGGCGUGCUUAACACAUGCAAGUCGAACGAAGUGGCGAACGGGUGAGUAACGCGUAAUCAAACUGCCCUUCAGAGGGGGACAACAGUUGGAAACGACUGCUAAUACCGCAUACUGAAGGAGGGGAUUGCGUCUGAUGAGCUUGUGGGAGGGGUAACGGCCCACCAAGGCGAUGAUCAGUAGCCGGGCUGAGUGGCGGAACGGCAACAUGGGGACUGGGACACGGCCCAGACUCCUACGGGAGGCAGCAGUGGGGAAUCUUCCGCAAUGGACGAAAGUCUGACGGAGCAACGCCGCGUGAGUGAUGACGGCCUUCGGGUUGUAAAGCUCUGUUAAUCGGGACGCGGUACCGGAAUAGAAAGCCACGGCUAACUACGUGCCAGCAGCCGCGGUAAUUC
rnacentral:rRNA from 1 species